UUACUAGUAGCGUAAUGCCUUUAUCAUUUUUACCUUUGCAAACCCCACGCGCUGGGGGGCUGAUUUUGGGGUGUGGGGGUGCCUGGUGUCCCCCCAGGUGUCCAACGUGACGGUGCCGGCGCAGACGUUCGCGGAGGCGGUGGCGCUGCCCGGGCUGACCUUCGCGGCCGCGCGCUUCGACGGCGUCCUGGGCCUGGCCUUCCCCGGCGCCGCCGCCGGCCCCGCCGUGCCCGUGUUCGACAACAUGAUGCGCCUGCGCCUCUUCCGAAACAACGUCUUCGCCUUCCGCCUCCGCAGGCACGGUGACCGGCCCCGACACGGCCCGAUACGGCCCNNNNNNNNNNCGGUGGCGCUGCCCGGGCUGACCUUCGCGGCCGCGCGCUUCGACGGCGUCCUGGGCCUGGCCUUCCCCGGCGCCGCCGCCGGCCCCGCCGUGCCCGUGUUCGACAACAUGAUGCGCCUGCGCCUCUUCCGAAACAACGUCUUCGCCUUCCGCCUCCGCAGGUGUCGCAGUGGGGGGCCCCCACCUGCGUGAGCGGCUUCAUGGGGCUGGACGUGCCCCCCCCCGCCGGCCCCCUCUGGAUCCUGGGCGACGUCUUCCUGGCCCAGCACUACGCCGUCUUCGACCGCGACCACCAGCGCGUGGGGCUGGCGCCCAGCACCUGACCCCCUCCCAGUGCUCCCAGUCCGGCUCCCAGUCCGGACCAGUAGCCGCCCGGGCGCCCCCCACUUGCACCCCCGGCGCCACCAAUAAAGGCUCUGCUCCACAGGAUCCUGCUCACGGGGCUUUGCUGGCCCCCCGCAGUGUCCUCCCAGUAGCUCCCAGUAAGCCCCAGUAGCUCCCAGUGACUCCCAGUAGCCCCCAGUGAUCCCAGUCCCUCCGUAGUAAGUCUCCCAGUAGCCCUUAGCAUAAAGGAACUGGAAUCACUAAGUGUCCCAGUGCUCCCAGUGCCUUCCCAGUAGCUCCCAGUAAGCCCCAGUGACUCCCAGUAGCCCCCAGUGAUCCCAGUUCCUUUGUGGGAAGUCUCCCAGUAGCCCUUAGUGAUCCCAGUUCCUUUGUACUAAGUCUCUCAGUGCUCCCAGCGCCUUCCCAGUAGCUCCCAGUAAGCCCUAGCACCUUCCCAGUAGCUCCCAGUAGCCCCCAGUGCUCCCAGUCCCUCUGUAGUAAGUCUCCCAGUAGCCCCCAGUGAUCCCAGUUCCUUCCUAGGACGUCUCCCAGUAGCCCUUAGUGAUUCCAGUUCCUUUAUACUAAGUCUCCCAGUAGCUCCCAGUAACCCCCAGUAAGCCCCAGUGCUCCCAGUGCCUUCCCAGCAGGUCUCCCAGUAACUCCCAGUAGCCCCCAGUGCUCCCAGUCCCUUUCCCACUGCGUCUCCCACCAUGUCCCAGUGCUCCCAGUUCCAUCCCAGUACCCCCCAGUACUCCCAGUUCCCCCCACAACCCCUCCCA
rnacentral:lncRNA from 1 species